UACGGAAGGGCCGAGCGUUAAUCGGAAUCACUGGGCUUAAAGCGGGCGCAGGCGGAACGAAAGGCGCCUUGUGAAAUCCCACGGCUCAACCGUGGAAUUGCUGGGCGAACCGCCGUUCUUGAGGCAGGUAGGGGUCAGCGGAACUAUGGGUGGAGCGGUGAAAUGCGUAGAUAUCCAUGGGAACGCCGAUGGCGAAGGCAGCUGACUGGGCCUGUCCUGACGCUCAGGCACGAAAGCGUGGGUAGCAAACGGG
rnacentral:rRNA from 1 species